rnacentral:rRNA from 1 species
UACGUAGGGUGCAAGUGUUGUCCGGAAUUAUUGGGCGUAAAGAGCUCGUAGGCGGUCUGUCGCGUCGGAUGUGAAAACCCAGGGCUCAACCCUGGGCCUGCAUUCGAUACGGGCAGACUAGAGUUCGGUAGGGGAGACUGGAAUUCCUGGUGUAGCGGUGAAAUGCGCAGAUAUCAGGAAGAACACCCGUGGCUAAGGCGGCCCUCUAGUACGGUACUGACGCUGAGACGCGAAAGCGUGGGGAGCGAACAGG